GGUAAAAUGAUUCUCUAGGAAUUAAAAUUUGAGCUCUUUAAAGAAGAGGUAUAGUAGAGUGGUUUCUCUUUUUCCUCAAGAAAAGUCUUGGCCUACCCAAAAGAAAUAUGUUAGAUCUGCAGGAAGACUACCAAAUUCUAGGACCAACAUGUCAAAAUAGACUAAAGACAUAGGAUUUUUGGCUCCUAACAGUUGAUAGAUCACAUUUUCCUACAAAUCAUCCUCUACAAUUGGACACAAGUUAUAUGAGACCUUUUUACAAAGCAUCUGCUUUCUUUUCUGUUGCAACGUUACUAGUUCUUGCUCCAAAGAGCAAGGAGGAUAAUAAAGGCUCUUAACUCUCUGAUUUUCAUGAAGAUUCUAUGAAUUUUUUCACUACUAUAAAAAGUAAACAUAUGAACUAUUAAGUAUAUACAGAUGCCAAACACAGAGUGGUGAGACCAAUGGAAAGCACCCGACAUCCAGACCCUGUACCUAAGAUCCCAACCCAGUCAGAGACUUGGAAAUCCAUUUACCUCAAUGAUGAGACAGAAAAUAAACUUACAGGAGACAGUGGCCAUGUCAUCUAAUAGUUCUGUACGUUCCAAGUAGCCUCAUGUUGAUGUUACGCUGUCUAAAAAUAUCCAAUAUCCAUGGCAGCACCAGUAUAUUCAAAAACAUACCAAUGUCCUCAUUAAGGUGAGACUCAAAUGUGCUUCUGACCUUCAACUUUGAGAAUAGUGCCCCAGAGGCAUUUCAGCACCUGUGUCCAACUUGUUCCAACUCACUGCAAUCACUUAGCAGGAGAAAAGUCUAUAUUGCGAAGGAUUAUAGUCAUUGGAUUGGUUUGCUCUUAAAAAAGCUAUUUAGAGUUUGAAGAGCAAGCUGCUUGCUGAACAAAAAUCUUCAGAUACAAUCAAGCACAGAAUUUCAACUGGACCUCAAGUAUUUCACAAAAGAAAUGAUAUAUCAGUUGUCCAAAGAGAAUGAAACACCUGUUUCUAAGAGUGAUUUAAGUCAAUAAGUAAUAAACUAAAUCUUUGUUAUGAAUGCUUUCUGGUGUCUAAAUGACUGCUGCCCUUUUGGCGGGCAAAGUGUACAAAAGAUUUGGUGACCUUCUGACUUGACAGUCAAAUAACUACUAUUAUGUUUGGUCAAUGUAAAUAAGCACAGUUGACAAUUUGCUAAUUGGCCGUCUCUAGGCAGCCAAGUGUACUUUUGACCUUA